GAAAGAUAGGUGAGAAUCCUAUCCAUCGAAAGCCUAAGGUUUCCAGGGGAAGGCUCGUCCGCCCUGGGUAAGUCGGGACCUAAGGUGAGGCCGAAAGGCGUAGCCGAUGGACAACAGGUUGAUAUUCCUGUACCACUUAUUAAACUGAUGGAGUGACGGAGAAGGCUAAGUUGAGCGUGUGAUUGGAUUCACGUGUAAGCAAUGAGGUGGUCAUGUAGGCAAAUCCGCAUGGCAUAACAUUGAGCUGUGAUGCCGAAGCCGAAUGGCGAAGUCAACUGACGUCACGCUUCCAAGAAAAGCUUCUAGGGUUAAUUUAAUAAGUGCCCGUACCGAUAACCGACACAGGUAGGCGAGGAGAGAAUCCUAAGAUGAGCGAGAGAACUCUUGUUAAGGAACUCGGCAAAAUGACCCCGUAACUUCGGGAGAAGGGGUGCUUGUGAAAGCAAGCCGCAGUGAAUAGGCCCAGGCGACUGUUUAUCAAAAACACAGGUCUCUGCUAAACCGCAAGGUGAUGUAUAGGGGCUGACGCCUGCCCGGUGCUGGAAGGUUAAGAGGAGAGGUUAGCGCAAGCGAAGCUUUGAAUUGAAGCCCCAGUAAACGGCGGCCGUAACGAUAACGGUCCUAAGGUAGCGAAAUUCCUUGUCGGGUAAGUUCCGACCCGCACGAAAGGCGUAACGAUCUGGGCGCUGUCUCAACAAGAGACUCGGUGAAAUCAUAGUACCUGUGAAGAUGCAGGUUACCCGCGACAGGACGGAAAGACCCCGUGGAGCUUUACUGUAGCUUGAUAUUGAGCACUGGUGGCACAUGUACAGGAUAGGUAGGAGACGAAGAAACCAGGACGCCAGUCUUGGUGGAGUCGCUGUUGGGAUACUACCCUUGUGUCACUGGGGUUCUAACCCGUGGCCCUUAUCGGGUCAGGGAACAGUGUCAGGUGGGCAGUUUGACUGGGGCGGUCGCCUCCCAAAGAGUAACGGAGGCGCCCAAAGGUUCCCUCAGAAUGGUUGGAAAUCAUUCGAAGAGUGUAAAGGCAGAAGGGAGCUUGACUGCGAGACCUACAAGUCGAGCAGGGACGAAAGUCGGGCUUAGUGAUCCGGCGGUACCGAAUGGAAGGGCCGUCGCUCAACGGAUAAAAGCUACCCCGCGGAUAACAGGCUGAUCUCCCCCAAGAGUUCACAUCGACGGGGAGGUUUGGCACCUCGAUGUCGGCUCAUCGCAUCCUGGGGCUGUAGUCGGUCCCAAGGGUUGGGCUGUUCGCCCAUUAAAGCGGUACGCGAGCUGGGUACAGAACGUCGUGAGACAGUUCGGUCCCUAUCCGUCGUGGGCGUAGGAAAUUUGAGAGGAGCUGUCCUUAGUACGAGAGGACCGGGAUGGACACACCGCUGGUGUACCAGUUGUUCUGCCAGGAGCAUAGCUGGGUAGCUACGUGUGGACGGGAUAAACGCUGAAAGCAUCUAAGCGUGAAGCCCCCCUCAAGAUGAGAUUUCCCAUUCGAAAGAAGUAAGAUCCCUUGAAGACGACGAGGUUGAUAGGUCAGGAGUGGAAGUGUGGUGACACAUGGAGCGGACUGAUACUAAUCGAUCGAGGACUUAACCU
rnacentral:rRNA from 1 species